rnacentral:rRNA from 1 species
AUUGAACGCUGGCGGCAUGCCUUACACAUGCAAGUCGAACGGCAGCACGGGUGCUUGCACCUGGUGGCGAGUGGCGAACGGGUGAGUAAUACAUCGGAACGUACCUUAUCGUGGGGGAUAACGCAGCGAAAGCUGUGCUAAUACCGUAUACGCCCUGAGGGGGAAAGCGGGGGAUCGAAAGACCUCGCGCGAUUAGAGCGGCCGAUGCCUGAUUAGCUUGUUGGUGGGGUAAAAGCCCACCAAGGCGACGAUCAGUAGCUGGUCUGAGAGGAUGAUCAGCCCAACUGGGACUGAGACACGGCCCAGACUCCUACGGGAGGCAGCAGUGGGGAAUUUUGGACAAUGGGGGCAACCCUGAUCCAGCAAUGCCGCGUGAGUGAAGAAGGCCUUCGGGUUGUAAAGCUCUUUUGUCAGGGAAGAAACACCGGCUCUAACACAGUCCGGGAAUGACGGUACCUGAAGAAUAAGCACCGGCUAACUACGUGCCAGCCGCCGCCGUAA